rnacentral:miRNA from 1 species
UGAGCUUUCGUCUUAUGAUUG